rnacentral:rRNA from 1 species
UACAGAGGGUGCGAGCGUUGUUCGGAAUUAUUGGGCGUAAAGGGCGCGUAGGCGGUUCGUACAGUCAGACGUGAAAUUCCUGGGCUCAACCUGGGGGCUGCGUUUGAUACGUGCGGACUUGAGUGCGGAAGAGGGUCGUGGAAUUCCCAGUGUAGAGGUGAAAUUCGUAGAUAUUGGGAAGGACACCGGUGGCGAAGGCGGCCAACUGGACCAUUUCUGACGCUGAGGCGCGAAAGCGUGGGGAGCAAACAGG